CUGGAACCUAGUCGGUACUCCAUCAACAGUUGUGGAAUGAAUGAUUUCACUUUGGAAAACUUGAGUUUACAUAAUAACACGAAGAAACACACAAUAUCUAUAACCUCCAUCCUUUCCAACUGAGCUCCCCGUCUCUGGAGGCAUUCAAGUGGAAGCUGGCGAGCCAUUUCCAUUGUCUGGGAGUUUUGGAACCACUGACUGACUCUUCGAGCACCAGGCUUUUCCCUUGGUCCUCAGCACUGGGUGGGGAGCCCUACAUCCCAGAAGUCUUGGGAAACAGGGUGGAGCGGAAUCGCCUAUCACAGCCAAACAAGACUCUCCAGGAGGAAAUACAGCAGAGACCUGCUCAGGGCUUAGCAAACAGUGACAAAGGUGAGGUGAAGCCAGUCUGGACGCACACCAGUUCAGGAUGAUCUGAGGAAUGUCAGGCAGUCCCUAUAUCCUCAGAUGUGUCCCCAUCCACCUGGCACAUGUCUGGAACUUCGCCAUUACAGAGACUUCAGUGUCUACUUUUUUUUUUAAUUUUUAAAUUAAU
rnacentral:lncRNA from 1 species